AGCAACUGGAUUUGCAGCAGAAACACUCUGCUACAGAACAAGUGUCUUGGUUCACAGCAAAGAGGACAAAGAAAACAGCAAGUUUUAGGGGGUUGAAUCCUGGAUUGUUCUUACCCAGUGGCUCUGCAGCACCUCAUGUUGUUGAUUCUAGAAUGAAACAGACAAAACUUUGAUGUCCAAAGAUCACAUAACAGGUGGUGAUCAGAUGGGCGUAAAAGAUGAAAAAAAGAGAGAAUGCAUGGCAACAAAUGGUGCUGCUCUCUGUGCAAAAACUAAGGCCCUAUGACCAUGAAUGGAGCCAGAGGGAAGGUUGGAGCAGAUCGUUUGCUCCAGGGGAAGCCAGCUGCCAUGGCUUGCACACAGUCAACCCCCUGGAGAGGUUCCUGUGGUAAGGAACCAGGGCUCCUGGCAAUAACUUCUGAGUGAGCCACCUUGAGAAUGGAUUUUCCAGCCCAGUCAAGCUUUUAGAUGACUGUGACCUCUCCCAGUAUCUUUACUCAACUUCUGGAGAUCCCAAGCUACAACCCCUCAGUUAAGCUAUUCCAAAAUUCCUGACUCACAGAAACUGAGAUACAAUAAAGGUCACAGUUAAGCUCUUGAUGUUCUAUCUUAUUCCAUCAAAUAGGAACUUCAUCUUUUGAGAAGCACCAGGGAGAGCAGCCUAUGCCUGGCGGAAGCUGCCCAUGCCCCACUGAUACACAGUACUUCCUGUUCUGCUCAGUACUCCUGCUUUUUUCUGCAAACAACUGUGAUUCUCCACCUGGGAGCUUCCUCUGGCCACAGGAGCCUGCUUACCUGAAUUGGACACCCCAGAAGUACUGGUGAGUUAUAGCUUCCAGAAGCAGCUCUCUUCCAGUGAAGGAAAGGGCUGGCAGAAAAUUACUUCAGCUGCCUCUGCUCGUAUGUGGAGCAGUGUUAAGACACGCUCCACGCAGUAACUCAGGGCUCCCAGCAAGAUAAAGCCCCACUUGUGCACAGUAGUAAGUUGCCCAUGGAUGCCGGCAUCACCUUCCUUCCCUGCUGUGCCUCACUUCCCACUCCUCUGCCAGUGCUUCCUGGAAUCAUCUCCCUCAUCAAUCAUCUGUUCCUAAAUUCUGUCUGAGUCUGUUUCUGAGGAAACCCAACCUGAGUCAUUAUCCCUCUUCCCCUCUCACACUCGCUUCACUGGGGGAGGAUGGAUUAAGUUGAUUGGUGACUUUGGGUGAAGGAGUUUGCAUUGGGAGUAUGUGACUCAGGUGAGGUUGGGCUCUCUUUCUUCAGAGCGAAGUGCAUUCAGAUUCGAUAUGUAUCCUGUCUUCAGGAAGCCCUAUGCUCUGCUCAUCCAACAGCAUGAUUACGAAGGUACGCUCUGCCUUUGCAAGGGGAAGGCCUGAGAUUUGCAGUUGGCAAGCUCAGUGGGAGCUGGAUGUUUUAUGUAACUUGACUGUGGAUAUAGAUCAAUCAUGCUUUUCAAUUCAGUCCUCCUCUCUCUAAUAAACUGCUGUCAUGAGCCC